rnacentral:misc_RNA from 1 species
UCUCCGUUGGUGAACCAGCGGAGGGAUCAUUACAGAGUUGCGAAACUCCCUAAACCAUUUGUGAACCUACCCCCAAAACAGUUGCUUCGGCGGCGCCCUAGCCGGCCCGCCGGAGACCGCCAAACGCUUUGUUUUUACACUGGCCUCUCUGAGUAACUUAUACAAUAAGUCAAAACUUUCAACAACGGAUCUCUUGGUUCUG